GGGGGCGAUUUGGAUUCGACGACGGAUACAAACCCUUAGGUGCAUGCCGUGAUGGUAGCCAAUCACGUAAAUCCAAAGCUGCAAACUAUUAGUUGCCAAUGACGACAACUACGGUGCUCAACUGGCUGCGUAAGCAGUCACUAGACACCAUCUAGUAGCUUCGGCUCUAGCGGUCAAUGACAAGGUGCCAGCCCCGCAUUAUUGACUGUCAUACAGAACUGGCUCGCAGCAAUGUAUGUUCUGGGCGGCGCUGCUAAACUUUUACAGAACUCGCUAAUCACGUCCUGCCCGUUGGGCUGUGUGCAGCUAAAUUAAUUAACGGAAUCUAAGCAUGUAGAGCCGAAGGCAGAGGUCUGGCGGACGCCGGUUCAAUUCCGGCCGCCUCCACCA
rfam:marine gamma proteobacterium HTCC2148 scf_1106774214154 genomic scaffold, whole genome shotgun sequence.